AUGGAGUUUGGGCUGAGCUGGGUUUUCCUUGUUGCUAUUUUAAAAGGUGUCCAGUGUGAGGUGCAGCUGGUGGAGUCUGGGGGAGGAUUGGUCCAGCCUGGGGGGUCCCUGAGACUCUCCUGUGCAGCCUCUGGAUUCAAAUUUGAUGCUUAUGUCAUGAACUGGGUCCGCCAAGGUGUAGGGAAAGGUCUAGAGUGGGUCUCUAAUAUCAAUUGGAAUGGUGGUGGCACAGCCUACGCAGACUCCGUGAAGGGCCGAUUCACCAUCUACAGAGACAACGCCAAGAAUUCCCUGUAUCUUCAAAUGAGCAGUCUGAGAGCCGAGGACACGGCCAUCUAUUACUGUACAAGAGUGGGAUCUACGAUAUUAUCAAAUUGGUACUUCGAUCUCUGGGGCCCUGGCACCCUGGGUGACUAUUUUGACUACUGGGGCCAGGGAACCCUGGUCACCGUCUCCUCAGCCUCCACCAAGGGCCCAUCGGUCUUCCCCCUGGAGCCCUGCUCCACGAGCACCUCCGAGGGCACAGCGGCCCUGGGCUGCCUGGUCAAGGAUUACUUCCCCGAACCGGUGACCGUGUCGUGGAACUCAGGCGCCCUGACCAGCGGCGUGCACACCUUCCCGGCUGUCCUACAGUCCUCAGGGCUCUACUCCCUCAGCAGCGUGGUGACCGUGCCCUCCAGCAGCUUGGGCACCCAGACCUACAUCUGCAACGUAGAUCACAAGCCCAGCAACACCAAAGUGGACAAGAGAGUUGAGUCCAAAUAUGGUCCCCCGUGCCCAUCAUGUCCAGCACCUGAAUUCCCGGGGGGACCGUCAGUCUUCCUCUUCCCCCCAAAACCCAAGGACACCCUCAUGAUCUCCCGGACCCCUGAGGUCACGUGCGUGGUGGUGGACGUGAGCCAGGAGGACCCCGAGGUCCAGUUCAACUGGUACGUGGAUGGUGUGGAGGUGCACAAUGCCAAGACAAAGCCGCGGGAGGAGCAGUUCAACAGCACGUUCCGUGUGGUCAGCGUCCUCACCGUCGGGCACCAGGACUGGCUGAACGGCAAGGAGUACAAGUGCAAGGUCUCCAACAAAGGCCUCCCAGCCUCCAUCGAGAGAACCAUCUCCAAACCCAAAGGGCAGCCCCGAGAGCCGCACGUGUACACCCUGUCCCCGUCCCAAGAGGAGAUGACCAAGAACCAGGUCAGCCUGACCUGCCUGGUCAAAGGCUUCUACCCCAGCGACAUCGCCGUGGAGUGGGAGAGCAGCGGGCAGCCGGAGAACAACUACAAGACCACGCCUCCCAUGGUGGACUCCGACGGCUCCUUCUUCCUCUACAGCAAGCUCACCGUGGACAAGAGCAGGUGGCAGCAGGGGAACGUCUUCUCAUGCUCCGUGAUGCAUGAGGCUCUGCACAAUCACUACACGCAGAAGAGCCUCUCCAUGUCUCCGGAGCUGCAACUGGAGGAGAGCUGUGCAGAGGCGCAGGAGGGGGAGCUGGACGGGCUGUGGACGACCAUCACCAUCUUCAUCACACUCUUCCUGCUAAGCGUGUGCUACAGUGCCACUGUCACCUUCUUCAAGGUGAAGUGGAUCUUCUCCUCGAUGGUGGACCUGAAGCAGACCAUCGUCCCCGAUUACAGGAACAUGAUCAGGCAGGGGGCCUAG